rnacentral:lncRNA from 10 species
AUUCAAGCCACAGUGUCUUCUAUCUCCAAGCUGGUGAGACACACUGCAGUCCUCUACAGAACAGAAGAGAGACAGUGCACAAGAUUGCUCUUGGGGAGCUUGAUGAUGAUUGACAAGGUGUACUCUGGUCCUUGCCUGCCUCUGCAGGCUUCUCUCUUCUCGAACGCACUCUAGUCUAAGCUCCAGACACAAAUUGUCGUUGCCCUGAGUGGACCAUGUUCCCUCUCACCUCCCCACGUUUGCAGAAGCUUUCUUCAAAUCCCCAGAGCUGCCUUUUCUGUGACUAGUCCCCAUUUGUCCUUUAUUCACAGUUUAACCUCUCAAAAACCUGCCUGGAAACCCACCCCCAGAAGGGCUAAUGGACCCUCACUAGGUCUUCCUAUACCAUCAUCCGCUUCCCCAGUUAAAAUUGUACUUAGCGUAUUUGUGAAAUGAAUAACUGGAUGACUUUCUCCAUGCUGGGCAUUGUGCUAAAUGUUUCAAGUACAUAAGGCAUUCAAAUCUAGAAGAGCCCCGUGUUUGGUCCUAUUAUUAUCCCCAUUUUACAGACAAUGAAAUUGAGGUUUCAAGAGGGUAAGUCAUUCCCAUGCUGUCCAGUUAAUCUAUUUUGAAUGGAUGUGGAUAUUCAGGAGAAUCUGAUGAGAUGGGCUGAUCUGAUUCUCUCUCGGAUGCCCUAUGAUUUGGCACUACUUGGGGGCUCAGGGGCCUGAUGGAGCUGUGAUCACAACCUGGCUCUUCACUAAUUAGCUGGUGUCAAUGACCAGCACACUUUAGCCCUGAGUCCGUUUCCUCUUUGGCAAAUUGGCAAAAUAAUGACUACCUUCCCAACUGUUAUGAGGACAAAAAAAUGAGAAGCUGUUGAGAAAGCACGUAGCACCACAUCCAGCAUUUAAAAAACAAAUUUUUUAAAGUAAAAGAUGAGGAGUUUCCCUUUCCUUAAAGGAAGUAAUCUGUCUCUGCUACCUUGUGCCACAGUUAAACUGCACAGGCUCAAUAACUUAUGUUUUGGUUAAACGUUUUUAAUUUUUUUAGAGUGAAAUCCGAGUUUUUGUUGGCAAGUGAUUGAACACGCUGGGCCCAGCCUGCAGGCCCACAGUCCAUUAGGAAAUUUACGAGGCGAGAUGGGGACCUUCAGCUCAAGUACUCCCUUCAGACGCAGUACUUACAAAGCCAUCAAUUUCCUUAACAAAGAGCAUUGGCUUAAAUGCCCCUUAAAGCAGUGUUAUUUACACAGCUAUCCACUUCCUUUUGAAUUCUCUGCCUGGGGGGUGGCAGACCUGCAGUUCUUUCCAGCUACGAGUUAAUUAGGCUCUCUCCCCAAAUGGAAGCAAGCCGCAGACUGAGAUUUGGUAUUAAAAAGCAGCUCAAUUUGGGGCCAUCCGAGAGUCUUAUGGGGUGAUCCAAAUACCACCAAAAUCACUGGUUCCACCCACCCAUUCUUCUAAAAUUCUAAAGCCUUUGGACCUUACCAAAGAGUAAUGACCUCUGUCAGUAUAGAGAUAGAGAAGGAAAGGCAGCAUUUGAGCCCGUCUCUACUUAGUGAAAGAAGCCUCAAAAAAGUACUGCUGGCUAAGAUAGCAUACUUUCUACCUCUUGGUGUAUCGAUAUAGUAACAUUAACAUUUUAAAGAAGCCCCCACCCCUUUUGUGGGGGAACUAGGAUUUGGAUACAAGCAGCCCAGUUCAGGGGUCUGAGCAUGAAACCACCACCCCAAGCCACCUGACCCAAGAUAACCUGCCCGAGAUGACAGCUAAGGGGGAAAGUCUCCUAUUCAAACAGGAUUGUCUGACUCUAAAGACCAGCAAAGCUCAACUACACUUUCUUGCCUGAAAAAUAAAACUGUCUCUUAAGAAAUA